rnacentral:piRNA from 1 species
UAGACUGCAAUAAUACAGAUAAUGCCAAGGUC